rnacentral:misc_RNA from 1 species
UUGGAAUGAUACUGCCGCAGCCUGCAUGUCAUAGUCAAGACUAUCAUCUUAACAGAAACAAUAAGGCUCCUUGAGAAAACUAUUUGACUUGGCAAACAUUAACAUCUUUAUGUGGAUCUCCUUUUUCCAUUAGUCAUUUAAACAGCUUUUGUGAUGGAGUAGUUGUUUUGUUUAGUAGCUGAUGCUUUGCUUUACAAUGUGACUAAAUAUGUUAACUUGACAUGCAAAGUCAGUUUAAAUGAUGAAUGGAAGUGCAGGCUAUUUUCAAAAAACCCUGAGUAUGAUGUAUUGGUUCUCUAUUGGGUUCAGUUUUUACUGCUGCUUUCUUAGCAAUUUUUGGCCAGCCAUGUCUUAUUCCAAUUUUUAAUGACUCUUGAUAGAACUUCCAAUUACUUGUAUCAAAUGUAAUGUAUUGAUGUGAAAUUCUUAUUCAGAGUUUGGAGCUUUUCGUUGUUUGAUAUAUACUUCUUUUUACUUCUUGGUUUGAUGUGGUAAGCUCUAGUUGGAAUUCCCAUAUUCCUUGUGCCAACUCUGAUGUUCUUCUUUGUAAUAAGCGUAGCUUUCUUUUCUUAUAGCUUUACUGUGAGAAGGAAAGG